ensembl:lncRNA
GCUGUGGUUGUUGUGGGAACAGCUGUGGUUGUUGUGGGAACAGCUGUGGUUGUUGUUGGAGCUGCUGUGGUUGUUGUGGGAGCAGCUGUGGUUGUUGUGGGAGCAGCUGUGGUUGUUGUGGGAACAGCUGUGGUUGUUGUGGGAACAGCUCUGGUUGUUGUUGGAGCAGCUGUGGUUUUUGAAGUAGCGACUGUGGUUGUUGUGGGAGAUUCUGUGGUUGUUGUUGGAGCAGCUGGGGUUUUUGAAGUAGCGACUGUGGUUGUUGUGGGAGAUUCUGUGGUUGUUGUUGGAGCAGCUAUGGUUGUUGUGGGAGCAGCUGGGGAUUUUGUUGGAGCCGCUGUGUUUGUUGUGGGUGAGGCUGCGGUUGUUGGGAGAGCAGCUGUCGUUGAUAUGGGAGCAGCUGUGAUUGUCGUUUGAGCAGCUGUGGUUGUUGUUGGAACAUCUGGAGUUUUUGUCAGAGCAGGUGGCGAUGUUGUUGGAACAGCUGUGGUUGUUGUGGGAGCAGCUGUGGUUGUUGUGAGAGUAGCUGUUGUUGUUUGUGGAACUGCUGUGGUUGAUGUAGGAGCAGCUGUGGUUGUUGUAUCCACAGCUGAAGUUGGAGUUGUGGCUGCUGGGGG